GAUGAACGCUGGCGGCGUGCCUAAUACAUGCAAGUCGAGCGAACGGACGAGAAGCUUGCUUCUCUGAUGUUAGCGGCGGACGGGUGAGUAACACGUGGAUAACCUACCUAUAAGACUGGGAUAACUUCGGGAAACCGGAGCUAAUACCGGAUGAUAUUUUGAACCGCAUGGUUCAAAAGUGAAAGACGGUCUUGCUGUCACUUAUAGAUGGAUCCGCGCUGCAUUAGCUAGUUGGUAAGGUAACGGCUUAUCAAGGCAACGAUGCAUAGCCGACCUGAGAGGGUGAUCGGCCACACUGGAACUGAGACAAGGUCCAGACUCCUACGGGAGGCAGCAGUAGGGAAUCUUCCGCAAUGGGCGAAAGCCUGACGGAGCAACGCCGCGUGAGUGAUGAAGGUCUUCGGAUCGUAAAACUCUGUUAUUAGGGAAGAACAUAUGUGUAAGUAACUGUGCACAUCUUGACGGUACCUAAUCAGAAAGCCACGGAUAACUACGUG
rnacentral:rRNA from 1 species